UGAGGUGCACGUAAGAUAACUC
rnacentral:miRNA from 1 species